ensembl:lncRNA
AGCCUGAAAACUGUUCUCGGUGGUGCUAGCCUGAAAACUGUUAUCGCGGUGGCGCUAGCCUGAAAACUGUUCUUGGUGGCGCUAGCCUGAAAACUGUUCUCGGUGGCGCUAGCCUGAAAACGGUUCUCGGUGGUGCUGGGACUGUUCUCGGUAGGCUGGGACUGUUCUCGGUGGUGCUGGGACUGUUCUCGGUGGUGCUGGGACUGUUCUCGGUGGUGCUGGGACUGUUCUCGGUGGUGCUGGGACUGUUCUUGGCCGCAGUGAAAGUUGGCCUCCAUCCAAGGGCAGUUUUAGGAGAGAGGGAUGGAGGGAGGAGAUAAAAUGAGGGAGGAGAGAGAGGUGUGAUUCUUUAAUAGAAUAACAAUUGAGGGAGAGAGAAUGAAGGAGAGAAGGUGGGAGGAGGAGAAAAAGAGGAACGAAUGAGGGAGAAGUAUGUGGAUACAUUAAAUCUAGGAGAUGAGAGAAUAUUUCGCUUUUGUAUAUUAUCUACUUCACUUGAUUUGGAAAUGUUAACAUAUGUUUCCCAUGCCAAUAAGACCAUUGAGAAGAGAGAGAGAGAGAAUAGAGAGAGAGAGAAUAGAGAGAGAGCGAAUAGAGAGAGAAUAGAGAGAGAGAGAAUAGAGAGAGAGAGAAUAGAGAGAGAGAAUAGAGAGAGAGAAUAGAGAGAGAGAGAAUAGAGAGAGAGAGAAUAGAGAGAGAGCGAAUAGAGAGAGAAUAGAGAGAGAAUAGAGAGAGAGAGAAUAGAGAGAGAGAGAAUAGAGAGAGAGAAAAAAAUAGAGAGAGAAUAGAGAAAAUAGAGAGAGAACAGAGAGAGAAUAGAGUGAGAGAAUAGAGAGAACAGAGUGAGAGAGAAUAGAGUUAGAGAGAAUAGAGUGUGACCAAAGAGAGAAUAGAGUGAGAGAAUAUAGAUAGAGAGAGAAUAUAGUAAGAGAGAAAAGAGUGAGAGGGAAUAGAGUGAGAGAAUAGAGUGAGAGAGAAUACAGAGAGAAUAAAGUGAGAAUAGAGUGAGAAUAGAGAGAGAAUAGAGUGAGAGAAAAGAGUGAGAUGGAAUUGAGAGAGAGAGAAUAUAGUGAGAGAAUAGAGAGAGAGGGAGAUUGAAUAUAGUAAGAGAGAAAAGAGUGAGAGGGAAUAGAGAGAGAGAGAAUACAGAGAGAAUAAAGUGAGAAUAGAGUGAGAAUAGAGAGAGAAUAGAGUGAGAGAGAAAAGAGUGAGAUGGAAUUGAGAGAGAGAGAAUAUAGUGAGAGAGAAAAGAGUGAGAUGGAAUUGAGAGAGAAUAGAGUGAGAGAAUAGAGAGAGAGAAUAGAGAGAGAGAGAAUAGAGGGAGAGAAUAGAGAGAGAGAGAAUAGAGAGAGAGAAUAGAGAGAGAGAAUAGAGAGAGAGAAUAGAUAGAUAGAGAGAAUAGAGAGAGAGAAUAGAGAGAGAAUAGAAGAGAGAGAAUAGAGAGAGAAUAGAGUGAGAGAAUAGAUAGAGAGAAUAGAGAGAGAGAAUAGAGAGAGAGAGAAUAGAGUGAGGGAUAAAAAAAUAGGAAGAGAAGUGGAGGGAAAAGAGGAGGAGUUAAUUAUGAAUAUUGGAUUUGUAAAAAGAUCAAUAUCGUUAUAGAUUAGAGCCUCAUCCAAUCCUCUCUCUGUCCACACAGGAGGGAAAUGAACCAGCGGCAUUAUUAACAUGUGUGUCACAAUGAUUUUAGGCUCCUGACAACUUUGCUCUGUGUUGAAUAAUGUAUUUGUUUUCAUUCUGUUGUCCAUGUGAACAUCUGUGUUUGGUUGUACUGUCCUUGUAGGUAACAGAAGUCCUCACAUCACAAGGAUAGUAAACAAGGACAAUUCUGACAACUGGAUUCAUUUUGCCAGUCCCCACAACGGGAAAAUAUAUUUCAGGCUUAGGAGUUAGGAGUUAGGGGUUAGGUUUACAACUAGGGUUAUGGGUUAGGAGUUAGGAGUUAGGUUUAGGGUUACAACUAGGGUUAUGGGUUAGGAGUUAGGAGUUAGGUUUAGGGUUACAACUAGGGUUAUGGGUUAGGAGUUAGGAGUUAGGUUUAGGGUUACAACUAGGGUUAUGGGUUAGGAGUUAGGAGUUAGGUUUAGGGUUACAACUAGGGUUAUGGGUUAGGAGUUAGGAGUUAGGUUUAGGGUUACAACUAGGGGGUUAUGGGUUAGGAGUUAGGAGUUUAGGGUUAUGGGUUAGGAGUUAGGAGUUAGGGUCAGGAGUUAGGAGUUAGGAGUUACAACUAGGGUUAUGGGUUAGGAGUUAGGAGUUA